GCGGUGACUCUCAUACGCAUCUUAUUCCCCUGAAAUCGGUCCCUUUUCUGGAAGCUUCCACCUGCGGCGAUCUUAGCUCUGUGUGACCCAAAUCGACGAUUUCGUGCGUGGCAGCGCCGAUUCGAUCCUGCACCCUAAUUUCAUGGUGGUUGUUGGUUGUUUCUUGUGGAGAUUGAAAGUUUUAUAGUUACAGUUACAGGUUGUGUGGCAUCGGUUCUUGCUCGGGGAGAAAGAUGAAUGGGAGUAUUAAUGGGUUUGGAAAUAGAGGAUUGAGCAGUUUGGAGUUAGAGUACAUAAGGAGGCACCAUAGACACGAACCCGGAGAGAAUCAGUGUAGCUCUGCUCUCGUUAAGCAUAUCAAGGCGCCGGUUCCUCUGGUAUGGUCUUUGGUGAGGAGGUUCGACCAACCACAAAAGUACAAGCCUUUCGUGAGCAGGUGUGUUGUUAAGGGUAACCUUGAAAUUGGGAGUCUGAGAGAAGUUGAUGUUAAGUCAGGGCUUCCUGCUACUACAAGUACUGAAAGAUUGGAGCUUCUGGAUGACAAUGAACAUGUCCUUAGCAUCAGGAUCAUUGGUGGCGAUCAUAGACUUAGGAACUACUCGUCUAUCAUGUCUCUCCACCCAGAAAUUAUCGAAGGAAGGCCAGGCACACUCGUAAUUGAAUCUUUUGUGGUGGAUGUACCCGAGGGCAACACUAAAGACGAGACAUGCUACUUUGUUGAAGCCCUAAUAAAAUGCAAUCUCAAGUCACUUGCUGAUGUCUCAGAAGGGCUGGCUGUGCAGGACCGCACUGAGCCGAUUGAUCCGAUGUAGAAAUGGAUGAUAAGGAGAGUUAGAACUUGGCUGCCAUGGAUGAAGCUUCAGAAGCUUUCCAAUCAGGGAGGGCUUAGGAGACAGACUGGCAAUGAUUCCGCCUCCAUCUAUAUCAGAGUAGCAGUGCUGUUACUAUGUGUAAGGAGAAAGACCAGGCGCUUUUGCGUGGCCUUGGGUUUUGUAUAUAAGUGCUGGUGAGUAUAAUUGUUUCCAUCGGUGGGGUUGUAGUUUCAAGUUGAAGUUGCAGUGAAUUUAUCAUUUGGUGCUUGAAGAUACUUCUAGCGAACAGAUACCAAUAGCGUUUAGUUAGUGGUUAGACAUCAUUUGAUUCACUAAUUCAUCAGCGACUUAUGUGGAAUGCUCAAUUAUAAGUGGGUUCAAACCCUGUGGUCUACGGAUGUUCGAGUAAAGAGUGGCUCACAAAUCGCGUGCAAGUGUUGUACGUGUGGGAUUCGCCUUAAAUAUUGUUGCCAUGCCAACUAGAGCUUGCAACCUCGGCCCGGGCUUCAGAAUAAACAAAACAUAUUUGAUCAAUGAGGAUACAAAGAACUGAAUAGCUACGGGAAUGAACAUGUCAUAAGGGCAAAACCGAAAGACCUUGCGCAUCGUGAGCAGGACUGGUUGCCUCAGAUAUGCUCGAAAUGCGUAACCAAAUUCCUAAAAAGAAUUUGAUAACAAUGGAAUCCACCAAGUUGGAGGAGCUGCGGAGUUGAGAAGGGGA